rnacentral:rRNA from 1 species
AGCGGUAGAGAGAAGCUUGCUUCUCUUGAGAGCGGCGGACGGGUGAGUAAUGCCUAGGAAUCUGCCUAGUGGUGGGGGAUAACGUUCGGAAACGGACGCUAAUACCGCAUACGUCCUACGGGAGAAAGCGGGGGAUCUUCGGACCUCGCGCCAUUAGAUGAGCCUAGGUCGGAUUAGCUAGUUGGUGAGGUAAUGGCUCACCAAGGCGACGAUCCGUAACUGGUCUGAGAGGAUGAUCAGUCACACUGGAACUGAGACACGGUCCAGACUCCUACGGGAGGCAGCAGUGGGGAAUAUUGGACAAUGGGCGAAAGCCUGAUCCAGCCAUGCCGCGUGUGUGAAGAAGGUCUUCGGAUUGUAAAGCACUUUAAGUUGGGAGGAAGGGUAGUAACCUAAUACGUUGCUACUUUGACGUUACCGACAGAAUAAGCACCGGCUAACUUCGUGCCAGCAGCCGCGGUAAUACGAAGGGUGCAAGCGUUAAUCGGAAUUACUGGGCGUAAAGCGCGCGUAGGUGGUUCAGUAAGUUGGAAGUGAAAUCCCCGGGCUCAACCUGGGAACUGCUUUCAAAACUGCUGAGCUAGAGUACGGUAGAGGGUGGUGGAAUUUCCUGUGUAGCGGUGAAAUGCGUAGAUAUAGGAAGGAACACCAGUGGCGAAGGCGACCACCUGGACUGAUACUGACACUGAGGUGCGAAAGCGUGGGG